rnacentral:rRNA from 1 species
GACGAACGCUGGCGGCGUGCUUAACACAUGCAAGUCGAACGAUGAAGCCGGAGCUUGCUCUGGUGAAUUAGUGGCGAACGGGUGAGUAACACGUGAGUAACCUGCCCUUGACUCUGGGAUAACUGCGGGAAACUGUAGCUAAUACCGGAUACGACCCUCGGAGGCAUCUCCUGGGGGUGGAAAGAAUUUCGGUCAAGGAUGGACUCGCGGCCUAUCAGCUAGUUGGUGAGGUAAAGGCUCACAAAGGCGGCGACGGGUAGCCGGCCUGAGAGGGUGACCGGCCACACUGGGACUGAGACACGGCCCAGACUCCUACGGGGGGCAGCAGUCGGGAAUAUUGCACAAUGGGCGCAAGCCUGAUGCAGCAACGCCGCGUGAGGGAUGACGGCCUUCGGGUUGUAAACCUCUUUUAGCAGGGAAGAAGCGAAAGUGACGGUACCUGCAGAAAAAGCACCGGCUAACUACGUGCCAGCCGCCGCUGUAA